rnacentral:rRNA from 1 species
AUUGAACGCUGGCGGAAUGCUUUACACAUGCAAGUCGAACGGCAGCACGGACUUCGGUCUGGUGGCGAGUGGCGAACGGGUGAGUAAUGUAUCGGAACGUGCCCAGUCGUGGGGGAUAACGUAGUGAAAAUUACGCUAAUACCGCAUACGAUCUAUGGAUGAAAGCGGGGGAUCGCAAGACCUCGCGCGAUUGGAGCGGCCGAUAUCAGAUUAGGUAGUUGGUGGGGUAAAGGCCCACCAAGACAACGAUCUGUAGCUGGUCUGCGAGGACGACCAGCCACACGAGAACUGAGACACGGUCCAGACGCCUACGGGAGGCAGCAGUGGGGAAUGUUGGACAAUGGGCGAAAGACUGAUCCAGCCAUUCCGCGUGCAGGAUGAAGGCCCUCGGGUUGUAAACUGCUUUUGUACAGAACGAAAAGGUUUCUACUAAUACUAGGAGCUCAUGACGGUACUGUAAGAAUAAGCACCGGCUAACUACGUGCCAGCCGCCGCAGUAA